UCCUACGGAGGCAGCAGUGGGGAAUAUUGCACAAUGGGCGCAAGCCUGAUGCAGCCAUGCCGCGUGUAUGAAGAAGGCCUUCGGGUUGUAAAGCACUUUUGUCCGGAAAGAAAUCGCUUCGGUUAAUACCUUUGCUCAUUGACGUUACCCGCAGAAGAAGCACCGGCUAACUCCGUGCCAGCAGCCGCGGUA
rnacentral:rRNA from 1 species